GACGAACGCUGGCGGCGUGCUUAACACAUGCAAGUCGAACGGAAAGGCCCUGCUUUUGUGGGGUGCUCGAGUGGCGAACGGGUGAGUAACACGUGAGUAACCUGCCCUUGACUUUGGGAUAACUUCAGGAAACUGGGGCUAAUACCGGAUAGGAGCUCCUGCUGCACGGUGGGGGUUGGAAAGUUUCGGCGGUUGGGGAUGGACUCGCGGCUUAUCAGCUUGUUGGUGGGGUAGUGGCUUACCAAGGCUUUGACGGGUAGCCGGCCUGGGAGGUUGACCAGCCACAUUGGGACUGAGAGACGGCCCAGACUCCUACGGGAGGCAGCAGUGGGGAAUAUUGCACAAUGGGCGGAAGCCUGAUGUAGCAACGCCGCGUGCGGGAUGACGGCCUUCGGGUUGUAAACCGCUUUCGCCUGUGACGAAGCGUGAGUGACGGUAAUGGGUAAAGAAGCACCGGCUAACUACGUG
rnacentral:rRNA from 1 species